UACGAAGGGGGCUAGCGUUGUUCGGAAUUACUGGGCGUAAAGCGCGCGUAGGCGGCUUUGCAAGCCAGAGGUGAAAUGCCUGAGCUUAACUUGGGAAUUGCCUUUGGGACUGUGAGGCUUCGAGGACUGGAGAGGUGAGUGGAAUUCCCAGUGUAGAGGUGAAAUUCGUAGAUAUUGGGAAGAACACCGGUGGCGAAGGCGGCUCACUGGCCAGUUUCUGACGCUCAAGCGCGAAAGCGUGGGGAUCAAACAGG
rnacentral:rRNA from 1 species